rnacentral:ncRNA from 2 species
GAAAGCCGUAUGAGGGAAAACCUCACGUACGGUUUGAUGAGGAGGGGCAGAAUGUUCUGCCCUUUACUCUAGU